rnacentral:rRNA from 1 species
AGCAGCCGCGGUAAUUCCAGCUCCAAUAGCGUAUAUUAAAGUAUGUUGUAGUUAAAAAGCUCGUAGUUGAAUUUCGGGAUUAGUGCGCUGGUCAUGCCUUUGGUAUGUACUGGUGUUACUGAUUUCUACCUUCUGAAGAACCGUUAUGUCAUUUAUUUGGUGUGGCGGGGAAUCAGGACUGUUACUUUGAAAAAAUUAGAGUGUUUAAAGCAGGCUCGCGCUUGAAUACAUUAGCAUGGAAUAAUGAAAUAGGACGUUUGACCCUAUUUUGUUGGUUUCUAGGAUCGACGUAAUGAUUAAUAGGGAUAGUUGGGGGCAUUAGUAUUCAAUUGUCAGAGGUGAAAUUCUUGGAUUUAUUGAAGACUAACUACUGCGAAAGCAUUUGCCAAGGAUGUUUUCAUUAAUCAUGAACGAAAGUUAGGGGACUCGAAGACGAUCAGAUACCGUCGUAGUCUUAACCAUAAACUAUGCCGACUAGGGAUCGGAUGAUGUUAUCUUUAAUGACUCA